rnacentral:misc_RNA from 1 species
GAUGAAGAACGUAGCGAAAUGUGAUAAGUAAUGUGAAUUGCAGAAUUCAGUGAAUCAUCGAAUCUUUGAACGCACAUUGCGCCCCUUGGUAUUCCGAGGGGCAUGCCUGUUCGAGCGUCAUUAUAACCCCUCAAGCUCAGCUUGGUGUUGGGGCCUGCCGCACGGGCAGCCCUUAAAAUCAGUGGCGGUGCCAUCUGGCUCUAAGCGUAGUAAUUCUUCUCGCUAUAGAGUCCCGGUGGAUGCUUGCCAUUAACCCCCAAUUUUCUAUGGUUGACCUCGGAUCAGGUAGGGAUACCCGCUGAACUUAAGCAUAUCAAUAAGCGGAGGA